GUCUAAAGCGAACCUACAAUUUGAAUCCUAACUAAUAAAUAUAUAAAAACAUUAAAUUUGAUAAAAAACUAAGCAAUUUUUUUAUGGCUUAAUAGACCCCUAAAAAUAAAUUGGGACCUAAAUUUUAUACUUAUUUUUUGGGGCCUAGGGCAGUUCCCCAUUCGCCUUCCUCAAAUACGGCCCUGCCUGUUGUGAACUUAUCUUCAGAAAACUUUGUAUUUUAUUAUUCUUAUUUUUGCUCCUUUUCAAUUUUUGCCCCUACCUAUCAUAAAAGGUUAGAAAUUUAACAAAUAGAAAAAUAAUGGAUACUUUACCUUAUCGAGCGAGGAAAAGGGGCAAACAUGACAAAUUUAUAAUCUAUAUGUGCAAAAAUUUAUUAAGCAAAUAAACAAAGCAUGUAAUUCUUACAACAUAAGAGAUAAAUAAAAUUCUAUUUGUUGCAAGUUUAGGAGAAAAAUAUGACUAAAAUUAUUAAGUUUGUUCAUGUGAUGGUCCUCUUUAUUUUGUUAUUUUUUGUUGUAACUAACGUUAAUGGUAAAUCAAUUUAUGUUUUCUUUUCUUAACUUUAUUGUUUAUCUUAUACAAAAUCUUUCACCCCUUUAAAUAAUAUUUGUUUCUUCUUGUUUUAUAUCACAGGAAAGUGGCCAAGUUGCAAAGAAGCUAUUGAUUGUGGAGAAAACUUUUGCAUUAGUCGUUUUAGAGUAAAAUGCUGGAGGUUCAAAUGUUUUUGUAUUCUGUGAUAAGAGUUUGACAUUGUAACUUCAACGGACAAAAUCUAUAUCAUGCUAGUGAUGAUGAAAGUAAUCAAAAUAGUAAUAAUUUUGAUAAAAUAUAUUUUGCUUUUAAGCCUGCAACUUAUUUGUAUGUCAUAAUGUUAUUACUUUAAUAAUUUGUCUACACUUUAAUUUACACUUUGGUUGGCCUUUGAACUUCUUUUACAGACUUAGAAAGUUAAUGAAGAGAUAGUUUCUAUUGUGUACUUGGAUUUUAAUCAAUAAUUAAACUAUUAAUAUUUAAAUAUGUCACAAUUAUAAUAUAAAAAAAAAAUUAUUGGCAUAUAGUACUCCAUUAUUGUUACUGAUUUAGAGUUGUAUGCAAUACAAGCUACAGUUAAUGUGAAUAAUAUACCAAAUUAACAUGAUGAUAAACAAAACAAUGAAUCAUAUAUCCAUAUAUAGUACUAUUAAAACAUAUAUUAUUACUUCAUAAAAAUACACAAACACACACAAAAGUCUUUUACUGUUUUCUUUAAUGGUCAAGUCUUUUACUAGUUAAAAGUAAAUUUUAAUAUAUUAAUUAAUAUAGAUAUUAUAAAAAAAAAGUUCGAGUUUACGAGUUUACCUGUUUUGGGCCAGUUUUCUAUUAAAAUUCAAUUCAUUUUCUAAACGAGUUCAUCUCUCCCAUUUGUGUUUUUCAUUUCUCCCAUCUCUCUAGAGAAUAACUGAGUACCACCACCCUUUUCUCUCCCCUCCAUCAUCCAAACCCUUGUUUCAAGAUGUAGCCUUCAACAAGGGUGCGCAGGUUGGGAGAAUACAUCUCCACUGACACGCAUUUCAAACAAUCGUUGGGGUUGUUGAGAUUUGUCGUCGCCUCCGCAUACACGCACAUCAUGUGGUUCUUUGAUUGUCUUCGACACAUCACCGCCUUCCCCCUAUGGUUUAUGGUGGAUGGUGACUGUAGGUUUCAGAUCGUAGUCGGCGUUUUUCUACCGCUGAUGUUCUAUCAUCAAUUGUAAAUAGUGGUGCUUCGUGAUCGCCAGGGAGUUGAUGGUACGUGAUCCGAUUUUCAUGUUGACGAUCGAUUCAUUGUUCUUUUUUGAUGUAUUGCCCGUUAGAGUUUAUUCACAUGAAUUUACUGGGUCAAGUUUUAUGUUCCCACAUUUUUCCCUUUUUUGAAUAAUAUAUAUGAGCAAUUGACAAAAGAUUAGAGCAGGGUACCAACUCAGUUGGACACUUUUUUUUUGUGGUGGUCGGGGUUCGAACCUCAAACCUUGCAUUUAUGCAUUGUCCCUACCAACUGAGUUAAGCUAACGAAGCCAUCUGUUUACAAUAUUAUAUUAACUUACAUAUGUCAUGCAUAUAAUAAAUUAUAUGUAAUUUUAAUUUGACUGGUGCUAGUCACACCCCAAAAAAAACAAGUUACACCCCAGAAUGACUAAUAUAC
rnacentral:lncRNA from 1 species